rnacentral:misc_RNA from 1 species
UCUCCCUCUCCCUCUCCCUCUCUCCAACAUGCACUCCCUUCCUUCUCUUUCCCCCUGACACGCCCUUUCUUCCCUCUCUUCCCUUUCCAAUGGAAAUCCUCUCCCCAAUUCAUAUCUAAUUUUAUUUAUUUUUUUAUCCCUAUUUGUUUCUAUUUAUCAAUAUUUCUCUGCUUAUUUCAAUCUUUAUUCCUAUCUCUAUAUCAUUAGCACUUAUAGACCUCUAAAAAUAGGAUUACCUACCUCCUUAGAAUUCAAAAUCAUAAACCUAUAAAUACCUGACAGAGGGAGGAAAAAAAAAAUAAUACAGAGGAGAGAAGAGGAGAGAACAACAUGGCACAAGAAAAAAAAAUUCUUAACUCCAUCUCUUAAAUUUGGUAAGCAUUUUCCAUCUCCCUCCUUGCUUUCUUCUUUUCUUUUUUUCAAUAACUCUUCAAAGUAUGUGUUUUAAGUUAUGAAUAUUCAAGAAAUAUGUCAUAUAUCUUUUAUUUCAUUUUUAUGUCUUUAGAUGGUAUUAUACGUUCAUAACAUUUCUAUUCAUGUGAUAAAUUUGAGGGGAAUUUACAAUUUUGCACAUGCUGAUUUUUUCUUCACGUUUAUUAUUUGUUGUGCGUUUCUGUUUCUUCAAAAAUUUUGUAAAAAUUAUAUUUUUAUUCUUCAUGAAAUUCUAAUGGUUUUAGCUUCAAAAAUCGCGCAAAAAAACUUUUAAAUUGAGAGAGUUAUGACUAUUUAAAUUUAGGAUGUCUUUUGUCUGCAAUUUGCAGGAUAGCCAAUUUAAGGGUCAAUAUCUCCCUCAAUUCAUCAUCUUGAUUCUAAAAACAAGUUCAAGAUCUUUUCUAAUCUUUUCUGUUGGUUUCAUGUAAAUAUCUUUUAUGAUUUGUGAGAUACAUUGAUUUUAAAAAAGUAGUGCAAAUCUGUUUCUGGUGCAUUUAUUUGGAAGAGAUUGUAGACUAGCUAAUAUUUUUCUAAUUUGAUAUAAUGUUUUAGUAUGCUUAUGCAAUUUUUCUAUAUUUUUUG